ACUUGAUUUCCGAGUUUGGAACCUUACGACAAACGUAUUUUUAUAAGACCCUAAAAGAGUCAAAAGAAAUCUGAUAUGGCAUCGAAUAAAGUAACGUUCAAAAUCGUGCUAACUUCGGAUCCCAAACUUCCGUUUAAAGUGUAAUACAAACGUGGUGACUUUAUUGAAUCAAGAAUAUCUGGCUGACACAUUUCUACACUGAUGAAAACGAUUUAACAACAAGAACGAAGUUAACAAAUUUAGAAACAUGGAGAGAUUUGGAAAGCCAACACAGGCAUUACAUGCAAAAUCCCAAUUGGAGUCAGCCUUGAGUCAAAUGUACCAUUUCGCCGGAACUACUCUGCCCUCAGCUAUGUCGGAAUCGUUUUGGUGUGAAGGGACAAUAAAAAAAGCUGUCGAUCAAGCCCUAUUUUGCCAAGAUUGCGCUUCAAAAAUACCCCAAGAUUUGCUGGAUUCUCAGUUGGCUGUCCUGAUGAAGAAGAAACCAGGAUUCUCAUUUGGAGUAGAAUUGACGACUGAUCUAUUUAAAAAUGGGUUGGAACAGCUCUACAUAAACUUCGCUCAAAAUAGUCUGACCCCACCAGACACCCUGAAAAAGGUCAAUGACGUAUUUGAGGCGCGUGUUGGAUUGACGACGCUCCUAACUUUCCAGGAAAAGACGGGGGAUUUGUUUGAGCAGUACGAAGAAAUCUCAAAUUUUCUCAACAUGUGUCCUUCUGAAACUGUGAUGCAAGUGGAGGCUCAGCUAAUUGCGGAGAAAUUGGAGAAUUUAGAAGAUAAAGAGAAACUUGUAACCAAAAUACGAUCUCUACUUGAUGCAGGAUAUAAGUAUCGUUGCAUUGUUUUGUAUCUAUUGGGAUGGGGAGAUUGCACAUUUAAAGACAGCAUUGUUGAAACAAUAAGGAAGGAACUAGACGAAUUUGACUUAAAUUUUAAGCCUCUACCUAUUCCUCAAAUGAUGGAAUUUAAUGAAAACAACGACAAAGGUAAUCCAGCACCAAGGGACAACGUCAUAGUCACACUAUUCUUCAACACGGAUGCCACCAAGUUCUGCAAAGCCAUUGUUGCUACAGCGUCAUCCGAAGAAGAUAACUUAUUAAAAAUCUUUGUCCAAUUUGUCAAUCAAAUUUCUGGAAAUGCUUCAUUUGUGGAGCAGAAUUCUACACAGUAUGAAUGGGAAAUUGAUGUCUACGGAGUGAAUUUUAUGAGCAUUCGAGAUUUGAUUAAAGAUUUUAGAAAGAAAGAAACAUCUCGUGGGAUGAUAACAAAUGCAAUCACCGCCCAUUUGACUAGUUUAGCUGUUUGCAAUAGUUUAUUUUGGGAAGAUUUAUUGUUACCUUAAAGGAACUACAGGUUGUAUACACAUAAAUAGCGUCCUUAAAGAAAGCAGUGGAUCAGUUUAUAUUACACAUUGUACCUGUUACUUAGAAUAUUGUUUGUAUAUAGAGUAGCAAUUUAUGCAAUAUUUAUAUAUUUCGGUUUCUUUGAGUACAGACUUAGUGUACCGGAAAACACCCCUUUCACGGCAGUUCUAAAGUUUGCUGCAGAAGAAUUUAAGGUCCCUCCAGCAACUUCAGCAAUUAUCACUGAUGAUGGAAUCGGUAUUAAUCCCCAGCAAACGGCGGGUAACGUGUUUU